GACGAACGCUGGCGGCGUGCUUAACACAUGCCAGUCGAACGGAAAGGCCCUGCUUUUGUGGGGUGCUCGAGUGGCGAACGGGUGAGUAACACGUGAGUAACCUGCCCUUGACUUUGGGAUAACUUCAGGAAACUGGGGCUAAUACCGGAUAGGAGCUCCUGCUGCAUGGUGGGGGUUGGAAAGUUUCGGCGGUUGGGGAUGGACUCGCGGCUUAUCAGCUUGUUGGUGGGGUAGUGGCUUACCAAGGCUUUGACGGGUAGCCGGCCUGAGAGGGUGACCGGCCACAUUGGGACUGAGAUACGGCCCAGACUCCUACGGGAGGCAGCAGUGGAGAAUAUUGCACAAUGGGUGGAAGCCUGAUGCAGCAACGCCGUGUGCGGGAUGACGGCCUUCGGGUUGUAAACCGCUUUCGCUCAUGACGAAGCUUUGUGUGACGGUAGUGGGUAAAGAAGCACCGGCUAACUACGUG
rnacentral:rRNA from 1 species